UACGAAGGGGGGCUAGCGUUGCUCGGAAUCACUGGGCGUAAAGGGUGCGUAGGCGGGUCUUUAAGUCAGGGGUGAAAUCCUGGAGCUCAACUCCAGAACUGCCUUUGAUACUGAAGAUCUUGAGUUCGGGAGAGGUGAGUGGAACUGCGAGUGUAGAGGUGAAAUUCGUAGAUAUUCGCAAGAACACCAGUGGCGAAGGCGGCUCACUGGCCCAAUACUGACGCUGAGGCACGAAAGCGUGGGGAGCAAACAGGG
rnacentral:rRNA from 1 species